rnacentral:rRNA from 1 species
UUAAGCGACUAAGCGUACACGGUGGAUGCCCUGGCAGUCAGAGGCGAUGAAGGACGUGCUAAUCUGCGAAAAGCGUCGGUAAGGUGAUAUGAACCGUUAUAACCGGCGAUGUCCGAAUGGGGAAACCCAGUGUGAUUCGUCACACUAUCGUUAACUGAAUACAUAGGUUAACGAGGCGAACCGGGGGAACUGAAACAUCUAAGUACCCCGAGGAAAAGAAAUCAACCGAGAUUCCCCCAGUAGCGGCGAGCGAACGGGGAGCAGCCCAGAGUCUGAAUCAGCUUGUGUGUUAGUGGAACGGUCUGGAAAGUCCGACGGUACAGGGUGAUAGUCCCGUACACCAAAAUGCACAGGCUGUGAACUCGAAGAGUAGGGCGGGACACGUGGUAUCCUGUCUGAAUAUGGGGGGACCAUCCUCCAAGGCUAAAUACUCCUGACUGACCGAUAGUGAACCAGUACCGUGAGGGAAAGGCGAAAAGAACCCCGGCGAGGGGAGUGAAAAAGAACCUGAAACCGUGUACGUACAAGCAGUGGGAGCACCUUCGGGUGUGACUGCGUACCUUUUGUAUAAUGGGUCAGCGACUUAUAUUCUGUAGCAAGGUUAACCGUAUAGGGGAGCCGCAGGGAAACCGAGUCUUAACUGGGCGUUAAGUUGCAGGGUAUAGACCCGAAACCCGGUGAUCUAGCCAUGGGCAGGUUGAAGGUUGGGUAACACUAACUGGAGGACCGAACCGACUAAUGUUGAAAAAUUAGCGGAUGACUUGUGGCUGGGGGUGAAAGGCCAAUCAAACCGGGAGAUAGCUGGUUCUCCCCGAAAGCUAUUUAGGUAGCGCCUCGUGAACUCAUCUUCGGGGGUAGAGCACUGUUUCGGCUAGGGGGUCAUCCCGACUUACCAACCCGAUGCAAACUACGAAUACCGAAGAAUGUUAUCACGGGAGACACACGGCGGGUGCUAACGUCCGUCGUGAAGAGGGAAACAACCCAGACCGCCAGCUAAGGUCCCAAAGUCAUGGUUAAGUGGGAAACGAUGUGGGAAGGCACAGACAGCCAGGAUGUUGGCUUAGAAGCAGCCAUCAUUUAAAGAAAGCGUAAUAGCUCACUGGUCGAGUCGGCCUGCGCGGAAGAUGUAACGGGGCUAAACCAUGCACCGAAGCUGCGGCAGCGACACUAUGUGUUGUUGGGUAGGGGAGCGUUCUGUAAGCCUGCGAAGGUGACCUGUGAGGGUUGCUGGAGGUAUCAGAAGUGCGAAUGCUGACAUAAGUAACGAUAAAGCGGGUGAAAAGCCCGCUCGCCGGAAGACCAAGGGUUCCUGUCCAACGUUAAUCGGGGCAGGGUGAGUCGACCCCUAAGGCGAGGCCGAAAGGCGUAGUCGAUGGGAAACAGGUUAAUAUUCCUGUACUUGGUGUUACUGCGAAGGGGGGACGGAGAAGGCUAUGUUAGCCGGGCGACGGUUGUCCCGGUUUAAGCAUGUAGGCUGGUUGUCCAGGCAAAUCCGGAUAAUCAAGGCUGAGGUGUGAUGACGAGGCACUACGGUGCUGAAGUAACAAAUGCCCUGCUUCCAGGAAAAGCCUCUAAGCAUCAGGUAACAUUAAAUCGUACCCCAAACCGACACAGGUGGUCAGGUAGAGAAUACCAAGGCGCUUGAGAGAACUCGGGUGAAGGAACUAGGCAAAAUGGUGCCGUAACUUCGGGAGAAGGCACGCUGGUGUGUAGGUGAAGUCCCUGCGGAUGGAGCUGAGACCAGUCGAAGAUACCAGCUGGCUGCAACUGUUUAUUAAAAACACAGCACUGUGCAAACACGAAAGUGGACGUAUACGGUGUGACGCCUGCCCGGUGCCGGAAGGUUAAUUGAUGGGGUUAUCCGUAAGGAGAAGCUCUUGAUCGAAGCCCCGGUAAACGGCGGCCGUAACUAUAACGGUCCUAAGGUAGCGAAAUUCCUUGUCGGGUAAGUUCCGACCUGCACGAAUGGCGUAAUGAUGGCCAGGCUGUCUCCACCCGAGACUCAGUGAAAUUGAACUCGCUGUGAAGAUGCAGUGUACCCGCGGCAAGACGGAAAGACCCCGUGAACCUUUACUAUAGCUUGACACUGAACAUUGAGCCUUGAUGUGUAGGAUAGGUGGGAGGCUUUGAAGCGUGGACGCCAGUCUGCGUGGAGCCAACCUUGAAAUACCACCCUUUAAUGUUUGAUGUUCUAACGUUGGCCCCUGACCGGGGUUGCGGACAGUGUCUGGUGGGUAGUUUGACUGGGGCGGUCUCCUCCCAAAGCGUAACGGAGGAGCACGAAGGUUAGCUAAUCCUGGUCGGACAUCAGGAGGUUAGUGCAAUGGCAUAAGCUAGCUUGACUGCGAGCGUGACGGCGCGAGCAGGUGCGAAAGCAGGUCAUAGUGAUCCGGUGGUUCUGAAUGGAAGGGCCAUCGCUCAACGGAUAAAAGGUACUCCGGGGAUAACAGGCUGAUACCGCCCAAGAGUUCAUAUCGACGGCGGUGUUUGGCACCUCGAUGUCGGCUCAUCACAUCCUGGGGCUGAAGUAGGUCCCAAGGGUAUGGCUGUUCGCCAUUUAAAGUGGUACGCGAGCUGGGUUUAGAACGUCGUGAGACAGUUCGGUCCCUAUCUGCCGUGGGCGCUGGAGAAUUGAGGGGGGCUGCUCCUAGUACGAGAGGACCGGAGUGGACGCAUCACUGGUGUUCGGGUUGUCAUGCCAAUGGCACUGCCCGGUAGCUAAAUGCGGAAGAGAUAAGUGCUGAAAGCAUCUAAGCACGAAACUUGCCCCGAGAUGAGUUCUCCCUGAGACUUUAAGUCUCCUGAAGGAACGUUAAAGACGAUGACGUUGAUAGGCCGGGUGUGUAAGCGCAGCGAUGCGUUGAGCUAACCGGUACUAAUGAACCGUGAGGCUUAACCUU